rnacentral:rRNA from 1 species
UCAGUCGACUCCUACGGGGAGGCAGCAGUGGGGGAAUAUUGCACAAUGGGCGCAAGCCUGAUGCAGCCAUGCCGCGUGUAUGAAGAAGGCCUUCGGGUUGUAAAGUACUUUCAGCAGUGAGGAAGGCAGGUACGUUAAUAGCGUGCUUGUUUGACGUUAGCUGCAGAAGAAGCACCGGCUAACUCCGUGCCAGCAGCCGCGGUAAUACGGAGGGUGCGAGCGUUAAUCGGAAUUACUGGGCGUAAAGCGCAUGCAGGUGGUUUGUUAAGUCAGAUGUGAAAGACCCGGGGCUCAACCUCGGAAUUGCAUUUGAAACUAGGCAGACUAGAGUACUGUAGAGGGGGGUAGGAAUUUCAGGUGUAGCGGUGAAAUGCGUAGAGAUCUGAAGGAAUACCGGUGGCGAAGGCGGCCCCCUCGGACAGAUACUGACACUCAGAUGCGAAAGCGUGGGGAGCAAACAGGAUUAGAUACCCUGGUAG